rnacentral:rRNA from 1 species
UGGGGAAUCUUCCGCAAUGGACGAAAGUCUGACGGAGCAACGCCGCGUGAGUGAUGACGGCCUUCGGGUUGUAAAGCUCUGUUAAUCGGGACGAAUGGCUACCAUGCGAAUAGUUUGGGAGUUUGACGGUACCGGAAUAGAAAGCCACGGCUAACUACGUGCCAGCAGCCGCGGUAAUACGUAGGUGGCAAGCGUUGUCCGGAAUUAUUGGGCGUAAAGCGCGCGCAGGCGGAUCUGCCAGUCUGUCUUAAAAGUUCGGGGCUCAACCCCGUGAUGGGAUGGAAACUACAGAUCUAGAGUAUCGGAGGGGAAAGUGGAAUUCCUAGUGUAGCGGUGAAAUGCGUAGAUAUUAGGAGGAACACCAGUGGCGAAGGCGACUUUCUGGACGAUCACUGACGCUGAGGCGCGAAAGCCAGGGGAGCGAACGGGAUUAGAUACCCCGGUAGUCCUGGCCGUAAACGAUGGGUACUAGGUGUAGGAGGUAUCGACCCCUUCUGUGCCGUAGUUAACGCAGUAAGUACCCCGCCUGGGGAGUACGGCCGCAAGGUUG